AAUCCAAAUUUUCAAUGGCAACCGUGUUUAACUUAUACAGGAUCUGUACAAGAAGUAUCGUACAUUUUUUAUCUUCGAGGGCUACGUGUAUUAGACUACCCAAGUUGGUACUCAUAUGUCUUACAUAUGAAUGUUUGGUUAAAUUUUGACAGCUGUUUUACUUACACGUGUUUUGCUUGGUCUUCAAUUUCCUCUUAAUGAAAGAAAAAAAAACAUCCCACAUGCAUGGGAGCAUUCCGAAUAUGCAGAGAGGCAUCUCUUGGGCCAAAAAACUUGACAUGUGCAAAAUUUGACGACAAUCGGACAAAUGUGGCCUUUACAAUGAUUUCUACGAUACAUGGGCCGACAGACGGACAUGGCAGAUCGAAUGAGAAAGUCAUUUUGAAGCGACCGGUCUACGGUUUAAAAUCUUAAAGUAAUAAAACCCUUUAUAACCGUAGUAUUAUCGGAUAUAAUUACAGACCUUUGUUACAAUGUUUAUCAUAUAAUGGAUAACACUUUCUUAAUAAAUACAAAUGCCACACUUUUUGUACA